CCCUUAGAUGUUCUGGGCCGCACGCGUGCUACACUGAGUGGAUCAGCGGGUCAGGUUGCGCGAAAGUGUUUCCUAAUCUUUAAAUCCGCUCGUGAUGGGGAUUGACGGUUGCAAUCUUCCGUCAUGAACGAGGAAUACCUUGUAAGCGCGGGUCAUCAUCCCGCGCUGAAUACGUCCCUGCCCUUUGUACACACCGCCCGUCGCUCCUACCGAUUGAGUGGUCCGGUGAGGCUUUGGGAUCUGGGCGGAAAGAGCGUUUCGCUGUUUCUGCCCGGAAAACUCAGUCGAACCUUAUCAUUUAGAGGAAGGAGAAGUCGUAACA
rnacentral:rRNA from 1 species